ensembl:misc_RNA
UUGACAGCCCAGGAAUACAAAAUCCUCACUUCAUCCAAGGAACAGAUGUUGGCAUGGGCAGUGGUACAAGCUUCCCAUGCUGCCCUGUCAACAUUCUUCAACCCUGGAGGGACCAUCUUUACAAGUGAGAAGAUAGCUCAGUCUCCAUGCCCAUUCUGACUUUGAUCUCU